GGCGGCAUGCCUUCACAUGCAAGUCGAACGGUAACGGGUUAAGCCGACGAGUGGCGAACGGGUGAGUAAUACAUCGGAACGUGCCCAAUCGUGGGGGAUAACGUAGUAGAAAUUUACGCUAAUACCGCAUGAGAUCUACGGAUGAAAGCGGGGGAUCGCAAGACCUCGCGCGAUUGGAGCGGCUGAUGUCAGAUUAGGUAGUUGGUGGGGUAAAGGCCCACCAAGCCGACGAUCUGUAGCUGGUUUGAGAGAACGACCAGCCACACUGGGACUGAGACACGGCCCAGACUCCUACGGGAGGCAGCAGUGGGGAAUUUUGGACAAUGGGCGAAAGCCUGAUCCAGCAAUGCCGCGUGCAGGAAGAAGGCCUUCGGGUUGUAAACUGCUUUUGUACGGAACGAAACGGUCUGGGUUAAUACCCUGGGCUAAUGACGGUACCGUAAGAAUAAGCACCGGCUAACUACGUGCCAGCGCCCGCGGUAAU
rnacentral:rRNA from 1 species